GACAGAAAGACCCUAUGAAGCUUUACUGUAACUUGAAAUUGAAUUUGGAUUUAUUAUGCGCAGCAUAGGUGGGAGGCUGAGACAAUGUAUUUGCGGGUAUAUUAGAGCCAGCAGUGAGAUACCACUCUUAAUAAAUUAGAAUUCUAAUUUUGAAUUCCAUUAACUGGACAAAAAACAUUUUCAGGUGGGCAGUUUGACUGGGGCGGUCGCCUCCUAAAAAGUAACGGAGGCGCGCAAAGGUUUCCUCAGGCUGGUCGGAAAUCAGUCGUAGAGUGUAAAGGCAUAAGGAAGCUUGACUGCAAGACCUACAAGUCGAGCAGAGACGAAAGUCGGCCUUAGUGAUCCGACAGUACCGAGUGGAAGGGCUGUCGCUCAACGGAUAAAAGUUACUCUAGGGAUAACAGGCUGA
rnacentral:rRNA from 1 species